rnacentral:rRNA from 1 species
UACGUAGGGGGCUAGCGUUGUCCGGAUUUAUUGGGCGUAAAGAGCGUGUAGGCGGCUUUGCAAGUCCGUUGUGAAAACUCGAGCUCAACCUCGAGACGCCGGUGGAAACUGCAAAGCUAGAGUCCGGAAGAGGAGAGUGGAAUUCCUGGUGUAGCGGUGAAAUGCGCAGAUAUCAGGAAGAACACCCGUGGCGAAGGCGGCUCUCUGGGACGGUACUGACGCUGAGACGCGAAAGCGUGGGGAGCGAACAGG